CUCUCUCUCUCUCUCUCUCUCUCUCUCUCUGAAGUGCAAGGCCAUGUGGGACGUCUGAUGAGGAGUUUCACCCCUCUACGUCUCCAGUUUCAUAUCUCUUUCCCUCUCCCCCGUUCAUUGGCUUCCCGUACGGGUUCCUCGAGCCCCGCUGUCUCAAGGUGGAGACCCGCUGGAAAGAGAGUGCAAGAGGGAAAAAAAGAGAGAAAAGAAACCUUUUUUUUUGUUUUGCCACGAGGGCCUCCUGACUAAAGCGUCCUCCACAAACCUGCUCCCGCUUUUCCUGCGCUUUCCCAUGCACCUGAUUGAAGAUAUUGCUUCACAGGCUCCUGUUUUCACACAUUUCUUUUCCGAUUUCAGCGAGCGGGCGAAUCCAGGUGCCAGUCGACAUGGGACAGGUGCCAGUCGCCCUCGGAAGGUGUCCGAAAACGUCGGGAGUGUAAGGAAAACGCCAUGGUUGCGAAGGGGAGGAUCGUGGGGGGGGGGCGUUUAUUCGACACUCCUCGGGCCUCCGCGCUCCGCGACCAUUUGCAUGCGACAGACACGCUAAUUGUGUGUUUGCUAACACGCAGCAUUCAGCGAGACGCGCUCCGGUCCGCAGACGGGGUUCACACACACCUCCCAGACGCCCCGGAGGCCUCCUAUUGUUCCAGAGGCCCAGACGAGCCCAUCCAGAGCCUGUCGAGGGGACCGGGAACGGGACGGCUCGAGGAAUAGCAGCCCUUUUCUCUCUGCAGCAAAACAGCCGAAGAAAAAGAGGCCUGAGGAAAGCACUGCCUCCGGACGCUGACGUCCUCGCAGAUGUGUGCAGUGGGGAAGUUUGAAAUGGACUAAUCGAGAUCAGGGGUUUUAGGAGAAACAUCCGAGAUGAAGUCUCCAUCGGAUCCGAAUGCGCAUUGAUGCAGAAGGAUGAAGACGGCAGUAAUCAGACUGAAAUGAGUUUAAAACUCUUCCCGAACAGGUGCCAGUUCAAAUGCACCCACACUCGCCUUCAUUCACUGAUGCUUUUGUGUUUUUUAGUCUGUGUUUACCCUUCAAUUGGUAAAUUUGUAAAAUUGGUCAAUUUAAACACUAGGUUCUGCAUUCAUUUCU